CUUUUAAAACAACUUUGAGUGGAUGAAAUCUAGUGAAGAAGUUAUUUUUUAUAAAGUGCCUCUCAAGAUAAAAAUCAUGAGGAGCUUCACGAGAGCAAAAAUUCUAAAUAAAAGGUUAGUUAUAAAAAAACUGAAAAAACAUUUAAAAAUAUGUGAUACAAAUUGGGAAAAUGAAUAAAUACGAACAAAUAAAACUAGAGCUGAAACAACUAAUCGAUUUAAUCGAUUAUAAUCGAUUAUUAAAAUAGUUAACAACUUUUUUAGUCAUCGAUUAGUUGUUUAAUAAUCAUAUUUUACCGCAUAAAGUCUAUUUUUACCACAAUCUGACAUCGGUUACAAGCUGUUAAAUUUGCCGCCAGUGUGUGGCAGUAAUGAGCCACUGAUCUACCAGUGGAGCCGUAGAAGAAGAAAUGAGCCAAUGAGUGCCCUCGGUUUUCAUGACGUAUCACGUUACUGACGCUCAUCUUGCUGUGAGAGAUGGCGGAACAAGAGGAAAUACGGAAGAAAAUAGAAGCGACAAAACUUUAGAGAAACCCCGGACAAAAACCUCACGAGUAUGGGAGCACUUCAGUCUAGAUGCCUUCAAAAGGCAAAAUAUGCAAAAACCAUCUAGCAUGGCACGGAAGCACGACGUCCCUAAGUGAACAUUUGAGACGAAAACGUGGGGGCUGAGGAAGAGCACCGCGGUCAAGUGAGCCGUCAUUUGGAAGAGCCAGCCCGAAAAAAACAAGCAACGAUGGACAACUACAUGGGGAACAAGACACUCACCCCCCAGCAAUUCAUACCACUUACAAACUCUAUUCUAAACAUGCUGGUAAAAGACAUGAGGCCACUAUCCAUGGUGGAAGGAGCAGGCUUCCAGCUAAUGCUAAAAAAUUAUUCUGGACUGAUAUUUUGCACUGUUUAGCUCAUUUUCUACUGCUGACUGUGUUCAUGUGCAAUAAAAUAGAUUGCAGUCAACUGCACAA